UCAAUUUAAUUUCUAUUUAUGUUUUUGAAAUUGUGCACGAAAAAAUCGUUGAGUUUAGAAUAACUGAACUUUGCAUAUAUAUGCAGGUUCAUCAUGUGUUAUUACAUAGUACGUAGUUUUGUACUUGUGUUAUGUGGUCAAUGGUCCAAGUAUGUAGACCUGUUUCCUUUACUUGUUACAAAUAUUUUAAAUCAACGAAUUGAAUGUUUAUUUCCUCUCGUUGUUAUCCUUAGAGCACUUGACAUCUUUAUCUUCUUUCUAUCUUAUAAGUAUGAAAGUCAUAAAUUUUUACCGCUUGGGACGAGGUCCCUUAUAUUUGCCCUUUGCAAAAUUCAAGCAUAUUGAGUUGCUCAUCUCCUCACAAAAUGAUUAAUUCAAUAAUUGACUAAUAGGUCCUUGUACCGUUGAUCGUUUGAUUGUCUCUUGAGUUGUUUGGAUUUUGUUUUUUAGGAAAGACGAGAAUAUUUAUUAAUACUAGAACAAUAUCAUACGAUUACAUAUCAUAAUAGCGUCACUAAGGGAACAUUGAUUACAGGGUAAGGUAGUGUCACUUAGGACACUUUGAUUACCCAUGGUAGCUAGUACAUUACACACAUCAGUAGAUAGAUAUUUAACAAAAGUUGUUAUUCCCUCUGCAUCCUUCUCCAGCGAUUCAAGCACACAAAAAGGUGGAGCAGCAGGUACUUGGGUCUUGUUGAAGGUGUGAAAAAAAGUUGAUUUUUGGAAGAGUAAGAAAAAUAAUUAGAAGAAGUUUCUAGAAAGUUAUGGAGUAAUAUCUUGGAUAUUUGUUGUACUUAAGAAAUAUUUAAAUAUUCUAGAGUCUUGGAUAUUUAAGGAAUAUAUAAGUAGAAAGUGAUAGAAUUGUCUAGAUUAUUUUUGUAUCUAGAAUCAUCCCUAGACAAGUAUAAAUAGGAGAAGUCUUAGGCAUUUGUAAUAAAGCCAAAAUCAAGAAAGUCUUCUUUCCUAAACAAAGUUUUCGUCUCCAAAACUUUCCUUCUCUUUGAAAGCUUCAUCUUCUUUAGUUGAAUCCUCCAAUCUUAGUUAACGAUCUUGGGCUAGCAGAAGGUCUCCAAAUAAUACUCUUCUUCUGCUAUUCUUUAUAUGGUAUCAGAGCCGUAAGUCGGCUUCUAGAUUUCAUGGUCAGGUUAGUGGUUGAUUCAACUUGUUUCUCUAAAUGGAUUUGGUGGUCAUGCUAAUGGACUGAGGAUGGAGUUAUUGAACUAGUCCAACUACAAGGUAUGAAAGACAUGUAUGGAGUCAUACCUUGUUGAUGAGGAUUUGUGGAAAGUUGUCAAUGGAAGUAACACAAGUCCUCCUACUGACGCACCAGAAAAUAACAAUCCGCGUAAGAAGUGGAAGCAGAUUAAUGUUAAGUCAGAGUUUAUCCAAAAGAGGUCUAUCUCUCCUAAUUUAUUUGAUCAUAUUAUAAGGUGUAAAUCAGCUCAUCAAAUAUGGAGGACCUUCAAUCGUCUAGUCAACAAGAAGGAUGAAGCUCGGCUACAAAUUUUGGAGAAUGAGUUAGCUAACCCCACUCAAGGUAAUCUCUCCAUCGCCGAGUAUUUUUUGAAGGUUAAAAAUCUGUGUUUCGAAACUUCUCUAUUGAAUCUGGAAGAGGCUAUCCCUGAAGCACGAAUAAGAAGAAUUAUUAUUCGUGAUUUAAAGCCAGAAUAUAUUCCCUUUGUUACAUCAAUUCAAGGAUGGGUUCAACAACUAUCUUUGGAAGAAUUUGAGAAUUUGCUAUCGUCACAAGAGCUACUAACCAAGCAUAUGGCUGGUGUAUCUAUCAAAGAAGAGGAAGGAAAUGCUAUUGUCACUGAUAAGAGAAACUUUAAAGGGAAUCAAGAGAUAGCAUGCACUUUCAAUCCUCAAGUGGUUCAAGCUCGCCAGGAAAGAAGGGGGAGUCUUCUAGUAGCGGUAAAAAGCUUUUUAAAUGUUACCAUUGUGGCAAAGUCGGGCACAUAAAAAGAUAUUAUCAAUCCAAAAAGAGCAAUAUGGCUCAAACCAAGGAAACUGGGGAAAGUGCUUCGCAGCGGAGACUCGAGCAAUAAAUACCAUGACUUCCAUAAAUUUUGAAAGAGACUGGAUCGUGGAUUCAGGAUGUGGGCACCAUCUCAGUAGAGAUAAAUCCAAAUUCUACACCUUUCGCGAAUACAUCGGACAUGAUAUCAUUGUUACAGCAGAUAAUACAGUCUAUAAUGUGGAGAAAAAGGCACUGUUGUGAUCAACGAUAAGCAAACAGAUACUAUCACCCUCAACAUUGUCUUUCAUGUUCCAGGAAUGAAAAAAAUCUAUUUUUAGUUGCAACUACUGUAGAUGCUAGAAACUAUUUGCUAUUUGGCCCACAUGAUGUGAAGUUCCUCCGAAAUAUCAAGGUGAUCAUGGCAAUAAUCACUCACUCAGCACAAGUCAGAAGUUUUCAACAAGUUUGUGGAGUUCAAAGAAACAGUUGAAGGUGAACUUGAUUCCAGAAUAAGGUGGUUGCAAACUGAUAAUGGCGGUGAGUUCACGUCAGAUGAGUUUCUUUCCUUUUGUCGUCAGCAUAGCAUUAAAAGAGAGCUGAUAUGCGCCACAAAAAAAUGAAGAGGCUUAAAGAAAGAUCCGACCCUUAACGGAGACAUGUAAGAGUUGGCUUCAUGCCAAGAAUUUACCUAGAGCCUUGUAGGCUGAAGGUAUGAAAUGUGCAGCGUAUGUGAUUAAUAGGAUGUUGCUUUCUCCAAACAAUAUGAAGUCUCUGAUAAUUGGCGAAAUCUAGGAUGAGGAGCAUAAAUGAUGCUUUCAAGAGGAAAUUGGAAUGAUUUAUGAGCAAGAACAACCCCUAGGAGUCGAGUGUGCGCAAGGACGAGACAGAAAAAUGGACAAAAUCGAGCUACUGAAGCGCGCUAAGUAACGCGCUAACUUCCAAACUUCGCGCGAUAGUUCGCGAGCUUUUCUGCCUGGAAUCCAAGAGAAGCGCGCGAAUUCACGUGCGAACUCCAUACUUCGCGCAAUAGUUCGCGUGUGUCCGAUCCGGAGAAACGUUAUUUAGGGGUAAAAUUGAAAAUCUGGAGAGAAACCCACUUAACCUACAUAAAGUCAAGCUCGCCCCAAGGUUAGAUUAUCAAGUUUUUCAUAGUUUAGAGGAGGAGAUAGAGAGGCAAGAGGCAAGGAGGAGUUUUGAUAAUCAAAGUCUUCUUUUCUUCUUUUGUUUUUGCUGUUUGUGAUGAAAUUGAACUUGUUUAUGAUGAACCCUAGUAUGAGCAGCUAAGACUCAUUGUUCUAGGGUCGUGGGUAAAAUAUGAAUGUUGUUGUUUGAAGUUUAAUUUAA